UCCUUCAGACAUUUCAGAAAAAGGAGGUCAGUGGUGUGACUUGAGGGUUAAUAAAUGCAGCCUGCGUCUGCUGUCAAGGGAAGCAUGCGAGUACCUGCCAUGCAUUAUUUACCAUGCAUUAACUAUGAUAAAACCGUGUUUGCAGGCUGUCACUCAAGGUUUGCCGGUGCUAACGCAUUUUUGGCCUCUUUCUGUCAUUGGUAGCAGCUUUGCUGGCUUUACCACUCAGGUACUGCCCAGGAUGUCAGAAACAAAGAGCAGAAAGAAGAAAAAUGUGGAAAAGAGAGACCAGCAAUCAAAAUGCACAAGAAAAGAACAAAAGAGGAAAAAGACAGAGGAGGACGUGCCUUAAGGAAUUAAAAUAAAAAACUAAUUUCACAUUCA